CCGCGGCGUGAAAACCCCGAGGUGCUCAUCCCUACCGCCCGGCUGGGAUGCGCAGGGAAGCUUAGGCAACAUCCUAACUGGUUGUUUGGUUUUUUUUUGCUGUUGUUUUUUUGCUACUAUUCGCUCGUUACCAAAGGAAUCCUGCGGCUCCCCCACGCUGCCCGAGCUCCUCCUGCAGCCGGACACGGCCCCGGAGCUGCGCGGUGCCCAGGGACGGGAGAGCUCAGCACUGCCAAUCUACUCGUCCCUCUUCAGACAAAAGCAGCCACUUCAAUGGAGACUAGAAGCUGCUGGUUAAUUCCUCACGUCUACAUCUCAAACAGCAGCGACUGUGAAUCACUGAGACCCCAGAUCGCCCCGAUACCCUCUCAGACUCAUGGCCUUGGAGCAGCCAGAGAAGGGCUGGACAUACAGGAUCCCUUCUGGUCCACUGACGACAACAUUACUAGAGACUUUCAAUGAUUUCAACAGGCUCUGGAUAAGGCCCUUACAUUCUUAAUAAACACUGUAUGGCUUUAAA